GACGAACGCUGGCGGCGUGCCUAAUACAUGCAAGUAGAACGCUGGAGGGGGAGCUUGCUUCUCUGGAUGAGUUGCGAACGGGUGAGUAACGCGUAGGUAACCUGCCUGGUAGCGGGGGAUAACUAUUGGAAACGGUAGCUAAUACCGCAUAAUAGUAGAUGUCGCAUGACAUUUGCUUAAACGGUGCAAUUGCAUCACUACCAGAUGGACCUGCGUUGUAUUAGCGGGUUGGUGCGGUAACGGCUCACCAAGGCAACGAUACAUAGCCGACCUGAGAGGGUGAUCGGCCACAACGGGAAUGAGACACGGCCCAGACUCCUACGGGAGGCAGCAGUAGGGAAUCAUCGGCAAUAGACGGAAGUCUUACCGAGCAACGCCGCGUGAGUGAAGAAGGUUUUCGGAACGGAAAGCUCUGUUGUAAGAGAAGAACGGGUGGGAGAGUGGAAAGUUCAUGCUGUGACGGUACCUUAACAGAAAGGAACGGCUAACUACGUG
rnacentral:rRNA from 1 species